UAAGGAAUAUUGCUCAAUGGGAGAAAUCCUGAAGCAGCAACGCCGCGUGGAGGAUGAAGGGUCUAUGACUUGUAAACUCCUGUAAAGAAGGAAAAAAUUCCCAUUUGAUGGGAGAUGAUGGUACUUCUGGAGUAAGCCCCGGCUAACUACGUGCCAGCAGCCGCGGUAAUACGUAGGGGGCAAGCGUUGUCCGGAUUUACUGGGUGUAAAGGGUGCUCAGGCGGAUUUGUAAGCCAGAGGUGAAAUCUUACAGCUUAACUGUGAAACUGCCUUUGAUACUGCAAGCCUAGAGUAUGGAAGAGAGUGAUGGAAUAUCUGGUGGAGCAGUGAAAUGCGUAGAUAUCAGAUAGAACACCAAUGGCGAAGGCAGUCACUUGGUCCAUUACUGACGCUAAAGCACGAAAGCGUGGGUAGCAAACA
rnacentral:rRNA from 1 species